rnacentral:rRNA from 1 species
CGAUGGGGAUGCGUUCCAUUAGAUAGUUGGCGGGGUAACGGCCCACCAAGUCUACGAUGGAUAGGGGUUCUGAGAGGAAGGUCCCCCACAUUGGAACUGAGACACGGUCCAAACUCCUACGGGAGGCAGCAGUGAGGAAUAUUGGUCAAUGGACGAGAGUCUGAACCAGCCAAGUAGCGUGAAGGAUGACUGCCCUAUGGGUUGUAAACUUCUUUUAUAAGGGAAUAAAGUGAGGGACGUGUCCCUUUUUGUAUGUACCUUAUGAAUAAGGAUCGGCUAACUCCGUGCCAGCAGCCGCGGUAAUACGGAGGAUCCAAGCGUUAUCCGGAUUUAUUGGGUUUAAAGGGAGCGUAGGUUGACAUAUAAGUCAGCUGUGAAAGUUUACGGCUCAACCGUGAAAUUGCAGUUGAUACUGUAUGUCUUGAGUGUACCAAGAGGUGGGCGGAAUUCGUGGUGUAGCGGUGAAAUGCUUAGAUAUCACGAAGAACUCCAAUUGCGAAGGCAGCUCACUGGGGUACAACUGACACUGAGGCUCGAAAGUGUGGGUAUCAAACAGGAUUAGAUACCCUGGUAGUCCACACCAUAAACGAUGAAUACUCGCUGUUUGCGAUAUACAGUAAGCGGCCAAGCGAAAGCAUUAA